rnacentral:rRNA from 1 species
AACGAACGCUGGCGGCAUGCCUAACACAUGCAAGUCGAACGGGAUCCGGACUUCGGUCCGGUGAGAGUGGCGGACGGGUGAGUAACACGUAGGAACCUGCCUUUUGGUUCGGGAUAACCGCGGGAAACUGCGGCUAAUACCGGAUGCUCCCGAGAGGGAAAAGAUUUAUCGCCAGAAGAGGGGCCCGCGUCCGAUUAGGUAGUUGGUGGGGUAAUGGCCUACCAAGCCGACGAUCGGUAGCUGGUCUGAGAGGAUGAUCAGCCACACUGGGACUGAGAUACGGCCCAGACUCCUACGGGAGGCAGCAGUGGGGGAAUAUUGGACAAUGGGGGCAACCCUGAUCCAGCAAUGCCGCGUGAGUGAUGAAGGCCUUAGGGUUGUAAAGCUCUUUUGCCAGGGAAGAUGAUGACUGUACCUGGAGAAUAAGCCCCGGCUAACUUCGUGCCAGCAGCCGCGGUAAU